AUUUUCUAUUUCACAUCUAGGUUCACAGUAUUACACAAAGCAUUCAUUUUAUGCAAUUUCAGGACAUAAAACAGGAAGUCAUUGCAAAGAUACUAGUUUUCCUAAAUCGACUAACGACUGAAUCGCAUGGAAUCGAUGUUGGUGGCUGUUUCGUAAUAACUCCCUCGUCAACACUUACGAUGAUAGGAAGUUUUAUUACUUACAUACUGGUUGUGAUCCAGACAAAAUCUUUAUAGCUGCCCUCUCUUCCUUAUUAUACAUUUCCAAUGGUAAAUUAAAUACGAAGCUCAACUUAACAACAUUACCUCACCAAUACAUGAAUUCGGACCACGUCCCUACAAACCUUUCUGAAGCAAGAUUCUGGAAAAGAUAGAAAAUAGCGUGAUACUGUAUCGAGUUCCAGCCUCUCGUACCAGCGUUAGGUUGAUUAUGUAAUCUUUGUUAUCAGACACACAUGCUGCUAUUGAUUUUCAACUAAUUUACUUACAACUGACCAUCAUCUUUUGUCGAAAAGAAUAUUUUUCACUUUGAUUUUUCUCAAUAUAUAUUGUAUUUUCCUUCCCACUCAUCUGGGCAACAUGUUUUUCGUUUCUCUCAUUUUCAACAAUAUAUAAGACCGAUACAUCACUGGAUGUAUAUUAUAAAUGUUCAACCUUACAUUACGUAGUUUCAUUUUUGGCUAUAUUUUCUUGAAAUAAAAUAUCAUGAUGAAUCUA